rnacentral:rRNA from 1 species
AUUGAACGCUGGCGGCAGGCCUGACACAUGCAAGUCGAGCGGAUGAGGGGAGCUUGCUCCCUGAUUUAGCGGCGGACGGGUGAGUAAUGCGUAGGAAGCUGCCCGAUAGAGGGGGAUACCAGUUGGAAACGACUGUUAAUACCGCAUAAUGUCUACGGACCAAAGUGUGGGACCUUCGGGCCACAUGCUAUCGGAUGCGCCUACGUGGGAUUAGCUAGUUGGUGAGGUAAUGGCUCACCAAGGCGACGAUCUCUAGCUGGGUUGAGAGGAUGAUCAGCCACACUGGAACUGAGACACGGUCCAGACUCCUAAGGGAGGCAGCAGUGGGGAAUAUUGGACAAUGGGCGCAAGCCUGAUCCAGCCAUGCCGCGUGUGUGAAGAAGGCCUUCGGGUUGUAAAGUACUUUCAGCGAGGAGGAAGGGUGGUGUGUUAAUAGCACAUCAUUUUGACGUUACUCGCAGAAGAAGCACCGGCUAACUCUGUGCCAGCCGCCGCAGUAACAC